rnacentral:rRNA from 1 species
AGAGUUUGAUCCCCGCUCAGAACGAACGCUGGCGGCAUGCCUAACACAUGCAAGUCGAACGAACCCUUCGGGGUGAGUGGCGCACGGGUGCGUAACGCGUGGGAACCUGCCUUUAGGUUCGGAAUAACUCAGAGAAAUUUGAGCUAAUACCGGAUAAUGUCUUCGGACCAAAGAUUUAUCGCCUUUAGAUGGGCCCGCGUUAGAUUAGAUAGUUGGUGGGGUAACGGCCUACCAAGUCGACGAUCUAUAGCUGGUCUGAGAGGAUGAUCAGCCACACUGGGACUGAGACACGGCCCAGACUCCUACGGGAGGCAGCAGUGGGGAAUAUUGGACAAUGGGCGAAAGCCUGAUCCAGCAAUGCCGCGUGAGUGAUGAAGGCCUUAGGGUUGUAAAGC